rnacentral:rRNA from 1 species
UUAAGCGACUAAGCGUACACGGUGGAUGCCCUGGCAGUCAGAGGCGAUGAAGGACGUGCUAAUCUGCGAAAAGCGUCGGUAAGGUGAUAUGAACCGUUACAGCCGGCGAUGUCCGAAUGGGGAAACCCAGUGUGAUUCGUCACACUAUCGUUAACUGAAUACAUAGGUUAACGAGGCGAACCGGGGGAACUGAAACAUCUAAGUACCCCGAGGAAAAGAAAUCAACCGAGAUUCCCCCAGUAGCGGCGAGCGAACGGGGAGCAGCCCAGAGUCUGAAUCAGCUUGUGUGUUAGUGGAACGGUCUGGAAAGUCCGACGGUACAGGGUGAUAGUCCCGUACACCAAAAUGCACAGGCUGUGAACUCGAAGAGUAGGGCGGGACACGUGGUAUCCUGUCUGAAUAUGGGGGGACCAUCCUCCAAGGCUAAAUACUCCUGACUGACCGAUAGUGAACCAGUACCGUGAGGGAAAGGCGAAAAGAACCCCGGCGAGGGGAGUGAAAAAGAACCUGAAACCGUGUACGUACAAGCAGUGGGAGCACCUUCGGGUGUGACUGCGUACCUUUUGUAUAAUGGGUCAGCGACUUAUAUUCUGUAGCAAGGUUAACCGUAUAGGGGAGCCGCAGGGAAACCGAGUCUUAACUGGGCGUUAAGUUGCAGGGUAUAGACCCGAAACCCGGUGAUCUAGCCAUGGGCAGGUUGAAGGUUGGGUAACACUAACUGGAGGACCGAACCGACUAAUGUUGAAAAAUUAGCGGAUGACUUGUGGCUGGGGGUGAAAGGCCAAUCAAACCGGGAGAUAGCUGGUUCUCCCCGAAAGCUAUUUAGGUAGCGCCUCGUGAACUCAUCUUCGGGGGUAGAGCACUGUUUCGGCUAGGGGGUCAUCCCGACUUACCAACCCGAUGCAAACUACGAAUACCGAAGAAUGUUAUCACGGGAGACACACGGCGGGUGCUAACGUCCGUCGUGAAGAGGGAAACAACCCAGACCGCCAGCUAAGGUCCCAAAGUCAUGGUUAAGUGGGAAACGAUGUGGGAAGGCCCAGACAGCCAGGAUGUUGGCUUAGAAGCAGCCAUCAUUUAAAGAAAGCGUAAUAGCUCACUGGUCGAGUCGGCCUGCGCGGAAGAUGUAACGGGGCUAAACCAUGCACCGAAGCUGCGGCAGCGACACUAUGUGUUGUUGGGUAGGGGAGCGUUCUGUAAGCCUGUGAAGGUGGCCUGUGAGGGCUGCUGGAGGUAUCAGAAGUGCGAAUGCUGACAUAAGUAACGAUAAAGCGGGUGAAAAGCCCGCUCGCCGGAAGACCAAGGGUUCCUGUCCAACGUUAAUCGGGGCAGGGUGAGUCGACCCCUAAGGCGAGGCCGAAAGGCGUAGUCGAUGGGAAACAGGUUAAUAUUCCUGUACUUGGUGUUACUGCGAAGGGGGGACGGAGAAGGCUAUGUCAUCCGGGCGACGGUUGUCCCGGUUUAAGCAUGUAGGCUGGUUAUCCAGGCAAAUCCGGAUAAUCAAGGCUGAGGUGUGAUGACGAGGUACUACGGUACUGAAGUGACAGAUGCCCUGCUUCCAGGAAAAGCCUCUAAGCAUCAGGUAACAUCAAAUCGUACCCCAAACCGACACAGGUGGUCAGGUAGAGAAUACCAAGGCGCUUGAGAGAACUCGGGUGAAGGAACUAGGCAAAAUGGUGCCGUAACUUCGGGAGAAGGCACGCUGGUGUGUAGGUGAAGUCCCUGCGGACGGAGCUGAGACCAGUCGAAGAUACCAGCUGGCUGCAACUGUUUAUUAAAAACACAGCACUGUGCAAACACGAAAGUGGACGUAUACGGUGUGACGCCUGCCCGGUGCCGGAAGGUUAAUUGAUGGGGUUAUCCGUAAGGAGAAGCUCUUGAUCGAAGCCCCGGUAAACGGCGGCCGUAACUAUAACGGUCCUAAGGUAGCGAAAUUCCUUGUCGGGUAAGUUCCGACCUGCACGAAUGGCGUAAUGAUGGCCAGGCUGUCUCCACCCGAGACUCAGUGAAAUUGAACUCGCUGUGAAGAUGCAGUGUACCCGCGGCAAGACGGAAAGACCCCGUGAACCUUUACUAUAGCUUGACACUGAACAUUGAGCCUUGAUGUGUAGGAUAGGUGGGAGGCUUUGAAGCGUGGACGCCAGUCUGCGUGGAGCCAACCUUGAAAUACCACCCUUUAAUGUUUGAUGUUCUAACGUUGGCCCCUUAUCGGGGUUGCGGACAGUGUCUGGUGGGUAGUUUGACUGGGGCGGUCUCCUCCCAAAGCGUAACGGAGGAGCACGAAGGUUAGCUAAUCCUGGUCGGACAUCAGGAGGUUAGUGCAAUGGCAUAAGCUAGCUUGACUGCGAGCGUGACGGCGCGAGCAGGUGCGAAAGCAGGUCAUAGUGAUCCGGUGGUUCUGAAUGGAAGGGCCAUCGCUCAACGGAUAAAAGGUACUCCGGGGAUAACAGGCUGAUACCGCCCAAGAGUUCAUAUCGACGGCGGUGUUUGGCACCUCGAUGUCGGCUCAUCACAUCCUGGGGCUGAAGUAGGUCCCAAGGGUAUGGCUGUUCGCCAUUUAAAGUGGUACGCGAGCUGGGUUUAGAACGUCGUGAGACAGUUCGGUCCCUAUCUGCCGUGGGCGCUGGAGAAUUGAGGGGGGCUGCUCCUAGUACGAGAGGACCGGAGUGGACGCAUCACUGGUGUUCGGGUUGUCAUGCCAAUGGCACUGCCCGGUAGCUAAAUGCGGAAGAGAUAAGUGCUGAAAGCAUCUAAGCACGAAACUUGCCCCGAGAUGAGUUCUCCCUGAGACUAUAAGUCUCCUGAAGGAACGUUGAAGACGACGACGUUGAUAGGCCGGGUGUGUAAGCGCAGCGAUGCGUUGAGCUAACCGGUACUAAUGAACCGUGAGGCUUAACCUU